rnacentral:rRNA from 1 species
UACGUAGGUGGCAAGCGUUGUCCGGAUUUACUGGGCGUAAAGAGCGCGCAGGCGGUCGUUCAAGUCGCGUGUGAAAGCCCCCGGCUCAACUGGGGAGGGUCACGCGAUACUGAUCGACUCGAAGGCAGGAGAGGGUAGUGGAAUUCCCGGUGUAGUGGUGUAAAUGCGUAGAUAUCUGGAGGAACACCGGUGGCGAAGGCGGCAUCCUCGGACCGGUAUGACGCUGAGGCGCGAAAGCCAGGGGAGCAAAGCGGG